UACGGGGGGGGCAAGCGUUGUUCGGAAUUACUGGGCGUAAAGGGUUCGUAGGUGGCCAACUAAGUCAUACGUGAAAUCCCUCAGCUUAACCGGGGAACUGCGUCUGAUACUGGAUGGCUUGAGUUCGGGAGAGGGAUGCGGAAUUCCAGGUGUAGCGGUGAAAUGCGUAGAUAUCUGGAGGAACACCGGUGGCGAAGGCGGCAUCCUGGACCGAUACUGACGCUGAGGAGCGAAAGCCAGGGGAGCAAACGGG
rnacentral:rRNA from 1 species